rnacentral:lncRNA from 1 species
UGUAAUCGCAGUGCAUGUACUAAUGCUUUCUCAUUGGAAUGCUAAUAGACACAGACCACAGUGAGAGGAGGAGAAGGAAACCUUGGUCCUCAGAGAUGUGAAAUUGAGAGCUUAGGCUUUGCCCUGGGCCGCUGGAUGGUCACCAGCACUUUCAUAGUACUGGUGUUUAAUUUCUUGAAGAAAAGUGAUGGUAGGCAGUGUUGAUGCUUCUGUCUGACUCAUUCUCUGUUACUGGGACACACAAUCAGGGUGGCUAUUGUCUUUGAACUGGGGGAUGGGGAUUGCUGGCAUGUUUUCAUAGUCAUCCAUAAAUUAGGGGAAAGGGUCGGCAAUACAAAUAGAGAGGCCAAUUCUAUUUGUUGCCUAGAAGUUAGUGUAGGAGACUAGAAGGCAAUGAAGUAUCCUCACUCCCACUGCAGAGCACUGAUAUCUUUCUUACUGUUUGAGGUAGACAUUGUCCAAGUCGGUUCUACUUCUGGGUAUGCUGUGUAGCCUGCUCCUGUAUGACACCAAGCAGCAGUGUCUCCCAUCACUGGGUUCUAGUUAGAAUCUCUGAUAUAGUCUCUGAGAAGGGUCACACUGUCUUGCCCUGCCCAUCAAGCCAGAAGGAGCCUAUAUAGCCCAUGGUCCAUAAGCAGUUCAGAGGCACACACUUCUGGGCCAACCAACACCAUCUGUGGUAUCUGAGGGGAGAAGUAGCCAUUGAAGAAGCAGUAGUUCAAACUGUGUCUCUUAGGGAAUCUAGAGAAAGCCACUGAACGGUGAGAGGCAUGUAAGAGCACAGCUCAGCAUCAUACUGCACUGCCAGGGGCCGUGUGGACAAGAGCAGGGUUGGGCUGGAAUCGAGAGACAGAACUCAGGAAGUAGUUCACAUCUUGGUUAACUGAGAAGGCUCUUAUCGUCCUUAGGAAAGAUAUGUAUACAGGGGCAGCAAGAACAAUAUACAAGAUGGGCAUGACUUGACCUGUUUGAGUGCAAAUGAACAUGGCUGGGAAAUGUGGCCCUGCUGGAACAGAUGUUCCCCUCUUGGAAACAGGCUGGGUUCUAAGAUGAAAGCAUAUGAAUUAUAAUAGCCAUGGUUCAUUCUAGGAUGGCUUAUCUCUUAUUAAUUUAUGAAAAUAACAAAUCUUUGUUUAGAAGAAAGUAUCCCAAAACCUUAGCCGCCAACCCAUAAUUCAGCACUUUGCUCGUUGACCUUGAACUGUUAAAACAUAUUUUCCCAGAAUUACAAGUAAAAUUAUUGACAAAAGCAGCAGUUCCCACUGCAUCCAGCAUUGUUAAUUUUAACCUUGGACUAAAGUUUGUUAGUAGGGAAAUCCCCAGGAAAAGGAGCAGCAGCCGCUUCUGUGGGGAUGCUCGGGAAGACUCAAGGGCCCCUGGGCUCUAUUUCUUUUUGACACGUGACUUUUUGACUGUGGCCAUGAACUGUUCCUAUGUUCUCUACAAGGUUAGUGUUAUUUUCAACAGGUGCACUGUCACAGCUGCAGCCUGUCCAAGAUCUUCCUUUUGUACCGAAGCCCUGUUAGGUUGGAGCUACUCCUGAGCAUUCACUGUUCAUUUUCCCCUUGCCUCAAGUUUGGUUUGUCUUCCUCCUCCUUCUUACCCCUUCUGUGUGACCUCCCCCCUCUCUCCAAAGUCACUGACCAGAGCUUUGUUCUGGUAGCUUUGCUGUUUGGGUCUGUUCCUUUCUAAGAAUAAUGGACUUUGGCUUUUGUGUUCCUUCACAAACCAGUGCUUUGAGGCUUCCCUGAGAGGUCAGGAAAAUCUACACAGAUUCUCUGGAAAUGACAACAUUUCCUGAAGGUUUGUCAAAGGAGGGGGAGGGUCUCACCCACCCAACAUGACUCUUCCGCCAGUAUUGGUUCGAACUUCGGGUGUCUGACACCAAGUAGGUUUCUUUUUUAAAGAUGUAUUUAAAC